UUCCAGGUUUUUCUAAAAACCAUCCCCUUUAUAAUUUUUAAUAGCAU
rfam:Sarcophilus harrisii ctg7180001623296, whole genome shotgun sequence.